rnacentral:lncRNA from 1 species
AUGCUGAAUUUACACAUGAAAAACGGAGCGAACACAAGACAAUCACUAUCACAGGUUAACAAACACUUCACAGCGCAAAGAGAAACUCAGCAGAUGCCAUCCUCAAUUAGCCCAAAAGGAGUUGGAGUUUGUUUGAUGCACGUCACUGACACAAAUCCAGGAAAUUGCACUCUGGGUCACAUGUCUUUGCUGGCUAGAUCUCCCUGAGGCUAAAAAGGAUUUUACUGCUGUGAAAUUUCUAAUAAUGCACCAAAUGGGCACAGGAUGAUCUCUUGCUCCUCGUAUCAUUCAUCUCUAAUCAAUUCAUUUCCUAAGACACUUUGCUAAAUGCAGUUUCAUAGAGACACACCAGCUAGCCAGCACCAGCCUCUUCCAAAUCUUCAGCUCAUGAAUCAAAACCACUCCUUCUUUGAAAGCAGAAGAAAUGAAUCUCAGAAUCCCCAGGACAACUUUAAUUUUAGUAAGGCAUGAAUUUAUUUAUCCUGUAUUUAUUCCUAUAAUGGAGUCACAUCUCAGUGUUGUUUUACUUCAUUAAGCAAUAAUGUCAGCUCUGGUGAUGUUGUAAUUACAAAUUCUGGAAACAUUUUUUGAGUUCUGAAAAGCAACAAUCACAACCCUAAGAAGUUUUAAACCUCUCAUGGGAAACAUAUCAUCUUGUAAAGUGCAUCUGAACUUGGGGAAGAUUUGACAGAUAACCAAAUAAGGUGGACAUUAUGAAGGGUGGAAUAAACCAUUAUUACAAAGAGUUCCA